rnacentral:rRNA from 1 species
CCUACGGGUGGCAGCAGUGAGGAAUAUUGGUCAAUGGGCGCGAGCCUGAACCAGCCAAGUAGCGUGAAGGAUGACUGCCCUCCGGGUUGUAAACUUCUUUUAUAAAGGAAUAAAGUGAGGCCCGUUUGCCAUUUUGUCUGUACUUUAUGAAUAAGGCUCGGGUAACUCCGUGCAAGCAGCCGCGGUAAUACGGAGGCGCCGAGCGUUAUCCGGAUUCAUUGGGUUUAAAGGGCGCGUAGAUGGGUUGUUAAGUCAGUUGUGAAAGUUUGGGGUUCAACCGUAAAAUUGCAAUUGAUACUGGCAGCCUGGAGUACAGGUGAGGUAGGCGGAAUUCGUGGUGUAGCGGUGAAAUGCUUAGAUAUCACGAAGAACUCCGAUUGCGAAGGCAGCCUACUAAACUGCCACUGACAUUGAUGCUCGAAAGUGUGGGUAUCAAACAGGAUUAGAUACCCCAGUAGUC